UUGGAUAUUAGGGACGGAACCCACUUCUGCCAAGGAGGAUUUUGCUAAAUUGAUUUUCAACCCGGAUAUGCCUUCGAAAAUGAACAACACCGCUUUAAUGGUAUCAAGAGCACGGAAAGAAAGUUCGGUCAAGAAGAUUGUGUCAUCCGCGAAUUGCAAAACCCCGACUUUCACUUCUCCAUUGCCAACAUGAAAAACAUCAAGGAGCCCAUCAUUAAUGCAUUUGGUCGUGAGUCUUGAAAGUGCCUACAUCACCAAGAGGAAUAGAGAGGGGGAAAGGGGACCCCCUUG
rnacentral:lncRNA from 1 species